UUUGAANNNUGGCUCAGGACGAACGCUGGCGGCGUGCUUAACACAUGCAAGUCGAACGAUGAAGCCCUUCGGGGUGGAUUAGUGGCGAACGGGUGAGUAACACGUGGGCAAUCUGCCCUUCACUCUGGGACAAGCCCUGGAAACGGGGUCUAAUACCGGAUAACACUCCUGCCUGCAUGGGCGGGGGUUAAAAGCUCCGGCGGUGAAGGAUGAGCCCGCGGCCUAUCAGCUUGUUGGUGAGGUAGUGGCUCACCAAGGCGACGACGGGUAGCCGGCCUGAGAGGGCGACCGGCCACACUGGGACUGAGACACGGCCCAGACUCCUACGGGAGGCAGCAGUGGGGAAUAUUGCACAAUGGGCGAAAGCCUGAUGCAGCGACGCCGCGUGAGGGAUGACGGCCUUCGGGUUGUAAACCUCUUUCAGCAGGGAAGAAGCGA
rnacentral:rRNA from 1 species